GGAGCUCUUUCAUCUUUCCUUAACCAGAAGCCAUUUUAGGCAUGAGGCUGGAGAAGGAGGUUUCUGCGGGAGACCCGUGUGGGAAUGACUCAUCGCUCGCAUCUUCCUGGCGCCAGGGUGGCUGAUAAGAGAAGAGAUGAAGUGCGGAUUUACAUCUUGUCUCCGCUCACCCGGAGGAUUCUUGGAGACCAACGCAUCCCUAGGCUCCGUAAAUGUACUUAAUACUGUGUCUUAGGCAAUAAAUGCAUUUUACUUUG